UUUUAGGCAGAAAUGCAACAGCUUUUGUGAUAAACUGGAAGUAGCUGAACGCACUGCAAAGGCAGAAGCGCAGCUUAAAGAAAAAUACCAAAUGCGAUUCAAGGUUUUGUAGGAAAGGCUUAAAACUUCUAAUGGCAACUCUCACUUUGCCUCAGAAGGGAGAACCAUAAGCAAUGGAUCUUCAAGGCGUCAGUCUCUUGGUGGAGCAGAGAAUUUCUCAAAGUCAUCCUCCAAUGGAUAUCUAUCAAAGAGAACUUCAAAUUCACAUUAUGGGCUUCUCAGAUCAAACAGUGCUAGCACAUUAUUAAAGCAUGGUAAUAUCUCAAUGAGAUCAUUUGAUGGUGGUUGUAGAUCACUGGAUAGAGAUAAGCUGAUACCAGAUGCAAGUGGGAAAGAUAAUGUGCCCACCAAUACCUGUGAUCAGAACCUAAUUAGCGAAACAAAUGGUGGUCACAUGGAGAAUGCAAAUUGAACUUCAAUUGGAAACACCAAACCAGAACAUGAAGAUUAUGUUCUAUGGUCUAUUUAGUACCAAUAUUUCGUAUAAAUCACACUAAAAUUUUAGUACCAAUAUUUCAUAUAAAUCACACUGAAAAUGUAA